UAAUACGGGGGGGGCAAGCGUUGUUCGGAAUUACUGGGCGUAAAGGGCUCGUAGGCGGCCAACUAAGUCAUACGUGAAAUCCCUCGGCUUAACCGGGGAACUGCGUCUGAUACUGGAUGGCUUGAGUUCGGGAGAGGGAUGCGGAAUUCCAGGUGUAGCGGUGAAAUGCGUAGAUAUCUGGAGGAACACCGGUGGCGAAGGCGGCAUCCUGGACCGAUACUGACGCUGAGGAGCGAAAGCCAGGGGAGCAAACGGGA
rnacentral:rRNA from 1 species